AAUCCAUGGUGUGGGCACCUCCGCAAAAGAUCCUUGAAGUGCUCCCAUGUCUCAAACAAUGAUUCCAACUCCAUCUAUACAAACGAUGAAAUCUCAUUAUGAAGCU